rnacentral:SRP_RNA from 1 species
GCCGGGUGUGGUGGCUCACGCCUGUAAUCCCAGCACUUUGGGAGGCCGAGGCGGGAGGAUCACCUGAGGUCAGGAGUUUGAGACCAGCCUGACCAACAUGGAGAAACCCUGUCUCUG